GGUGGGGGUGGGGGGGAAGGGGUCUGGACCAGGGACAUUCUGAGCUGCUGUAUACACUCUUUCUCCUCCCCACUGUACCAAGGUUUGGGUCAGAUGGGCUGGGACAGGGAGAUCCUGGAAGAGUCUAGAUAUUUGGAUCCAAUUUUUUUCAGGACAGUCCUCAGACCCAGAAGGCACAUGGCGCCUCCCACACAUUCACUGAGCCCUGAACCCCUGCACCAGCAAGAGAAGAACAAAACAGCUCCGAUUCCCAUUACCCAGCCUGGCUGGGGAAGAGUGAGGUGUUUCUGGGUAUCCAGCAUCCUUCUGGUCACCGAAGCUUCCCCUGCUGCCCACACGCUCUAAUUGCCCCAUGCAUCCUGGGCAAAGGAGCUACCAUCUCUUCAAAAGACUGGGAUGAAAUAAAAUAUACCAACCUCACUGAA